rnacentral:rRNA from 1 species
UGCCAGCAGUCGCGGUUACACCAAGAAAUUAAGUCAUACAUAAAAGGUAAAAAGACAGUUAGAUUAUAACAUAAAUUAUAUACAAUCUUUGUAAAAAAGUAAAAUUUAAAUACAAAUUUCUAAUCUAAUAGUAAUUUAUUAUAUUGAAGCUGUGAAAACCUUGAGGGAAACUGGGAUUAGAUACCCCAUUAUUCUUGGUUUUAAAUUAAUAGAUAUAUAUGCGAAUAUAUAUGCAUAUUUACCAGAGUACUACGAAUUCCAAAAAUUUAAAACUCAAAGGGCUUGGCGGUGUUUUAGACCACUUAGGGGAACUUGUCUCAUAAUCGAUAAUCCACGAUAAACCUGACCUUUUUUUGUAUUCAGCUUGUAUACCGUUGUCGUCAGGUAACUUUUUAGAAACUAGAAGUUAGCUAUAAGAAUUGUAAUCUAAAACGUCAAAUCAAGGUGCAGUUUAUGGAAAGGGGAGGAUGAGUUACAAUUAUAAAAUUAUAAUACGGAAAGUUAUUAGAAUUAAAAAUUUGAAGGAGGACUUAAAAGUAAAAUAGAUUAUAUAAAUACUUUGAAUAAGGCUCUGAAACGUGCACACAUCGCCCGCCACUCU